AGGGAAAAUGUACUGCUCUAAAAGCACUGGGCUGCAAGACUUCAGAGCAGAACCCACAUGAUCCUAUCCCAGCUCCACAUCUCCUUCCUUUCCCGUGCAAAUGUCCCUGAGGCUAUCCAGCCCUGCAUGACAACACUCCCUCUACACCUCACCCCACCCCGAGCCAGCAUUUUGGGAGCCAGCACUGCAGGAUUUGCAGCUCCAUACCAGCUAUUUAAUUUUCCAGGGAGUACCACCUCAUCCUUCUUGGAGGCUGCUGCCUGCCAGCCAGCUGCCAUUUUGUGGAGCGCGGUUGAUAGAGCGCGCUGUGGAAGAAUCAAGCCCUGCACGCUCUCAGAGAAGGUGCUAUUUUUGGUUCUUCUUGUCCUUUUUUUUCCUCACCUACGCUGAGGAACUACAGCUAUUCAAACCGACUGCCUCUGCCUGCUUGAGAACGCUGACUGAAAAUAGAACUCUGCAUUCAGUGCUGCCAUCUCUUUUUCACCUUUGAGGAUGAAAUUCAGAUGCAAAGGAAAAUUCAGAUCUAAACUUUGUGUCUCCUGCUUAUCUCUCACUGCAUUCCACCACACAUUGCAAGAGGAGGUAGCUGGCAACACCUUAGUUCCAGGGACACUCCAUAAGUUCAGAGGAAUGGCUUAGCCAGGAGGAGCACUCUGCUGUGGGCUGCUGCAUACACUGGGCAGCCUGAACACUAUCAGAGGUCUCAGCUCUUGCCUUGUGAAUGUAUGUGCAGCACCUACCUUUACAUUCCCAUGUGUAUCCACAGAGUACAGCCAAGCUGUAGUAAAGCACAUUUGGGAGAGAGAAGCAGAAGCUGUGUGUAUGGAACUAUUCCCUUUCCCAGAGGAUCUCUGUAACCGGCUGGAAGAUGAAAAUAC